AUGAUGUUAUUUGGUUUAGGAUUUCUACUUUAUAGUUGCAAAAAGGAUAUAGGUAUAUAUAAUAUAGAGGGAACUUCUCAAAUCUAAAGCAGUAUGAUAAACUUCACAACUCUGUCAAACGGGUUUGCUGUAAGUAAAACAGAAUCUAUAGCAUACCCCUUGUUAUUCAAACCCUUCAUCAAUUAAUUUUAACUAUUUAAAUUGAAAUAUUUCUCAGUGAAGUACAUUGUUAACUGUUGCUCUUCUUCAAAGGCACUUACUUCCUAAUAUAUUUGAUAACUGCUGUGAAAAUAAGGUGCAUUUAACUGCUAUCAUGUGUAUGAAGUAUUAUAUAAAGCAGGGUGAUAUAUUUAAAAGGUGUUGUCUGUCAGCUAUUUAGAUCCCUAUUUACAGGGAUUUAGAUAGGCCUACCAGACACACUUAAAAUGUGAAUUUCUUUCUUCAAUACUAACCAAAACUAAUUGCUAUGUAUAAUGUAAACUUAAGUGGUGUGAUAAUAGGGAUCAGCCAAACCAUUUUUUAAGGAAAAAGUUAUUUUUUUUCCUCUUCCUACACUCGGAAUCUGUUGUCAAGCCACCCAAGCCUUGGUCUUAGAGCCACUUGCUCAUAACCAAUGCAUAAAUACUAUGAAACAUCCUCUGACAGUGGAAUUACACACAUCAUUCAACAGUUAAACCGUGAUGUAGACAUUAAACUGUUGUGUCUCAUUCCAUUACCAAGAUGUCUGAGUGAGGGUUCAGGUUUUAGAUAAUCAUAAAUGCUGGAUUUUUAUAUUGCUGCAACAAAUUUUUUUAUUCUGCAGCUGUGACAAAUCAAAUGAUGCAGCCUGAUCUGUAUGUCCAGACUGGGUUUUAGAAGCUAGUGGUUUGUGCAAUCAUUUUCUGUUUUGUUUAAUCUAGAUUGGCUACAUGGAUAUAGAAGAGCCCAGGUUCCGAGCACAGCCCUUUAAAGGUGUAAUAGUUAAAUUUUCAGGAUGUAAAAAAUACUUUAAUUUUCAGAAUUAAAGUAUUAAAACAAAGGCAACUAAACCUGGCAAAAGGAAAUGCAGUUUCAUACAGAGAAUGUAACUGCAAUAGAAAAAACAGACAUACAGCAUUAAAAUCAGAAAUGGAAUGUAUGGAUUUAUAACUGUCACUAAUAUCUCUCCACAUAUAUAUAAAAUUUUAUCACAGAUUUAUAACAGACUGUGAAUAACAAGAUUAAGAAAAUAAUACCUUGAAAAGAAAUAAAUUCAAGCCUUCACUGAAAUACCAAGAAACUCUUCAGGAUAUGAUAGCUCAAAAUGCAUUUUUCCUUAAGAAAAUGGGGAUAAAACUAAGAAAAUGGAAGGAAGUUUUAUAGUAGAAUACAUUAGCCAGACUAGAAAGAUCAUUAGACAUUUUUCAGAAACAUGAAUUUUUACUUUAUCAGCACUGGCCAGGAAACUUUCCUGACAUACUAGAAAAACAUCUGCAGAAACAAAUAUUUUAGGUAUACAAUAUGAUUUUUAAAAUUAAUUGUGGAACCCAGGGAUGUGUGUGGGGGUGUGGUACAGUGGGAAGCAGAUUAAAAAGAGAAUCCUUUAUCCAUACAUAGCCCUGAUAAUUAUGGCUAAAUGCAGGAUUUACAGCUGAACAUAUUGUUUGGUUUUGUUUUGGCAGCAAAUCCAGAUGAUGGUGUAUUAUGCUGAUCUUCUGAUAGCUAGGAUUACCUGUGAACUGCUGGCUCAGAAGAGAGCUCAUUUCUGUGAAACAGCAAGCACUGACCACUGCCUGAAGCAGUCUUCUAGAUGAGCUGAGGAAUGCAGAACCCAAGAAGUGAUUGGUGCAGUAAUGCAAAGAGGGGACCGGGAACAGAGCUCAGAUCUCCCAAAACUCAGCUGCUUCAUUUGUUUCUCAGGAUAGCACAAACCGCCCCCUCCAAACAUUUCUGAACUGGAAGAUCUCCUGUGGAAACCUGCAGCACUGACUAUAAUCACAAUUCCCCACAACAUGCAAAGCUAUGUUAUCAGUGGGUAUGGGAAGAGGACAGAGCUGAGAUGUAGGCCCUGCACAUCCUCUCCCUCCCAUGAAGGCUGUGGUGAGUGUCUGUCCCCACAGAUGCAUUUUUCCCACCUUUCUAUGGCAACCACACUGGAAGGUGAAUUACUUUAUGCCGUAGCAAAAGGAAUUCAACAUGGAGCAGCCUUAAAAGGAUUAGUCUCAGGGUUUUAGGUCAGCCUUGUGUUCUCUCUUAUACCUCUUUUUACACAGAGCCCUCACCUAUCAAGUUUCUCACGACAGCAAAUAGUGACAGCAUAGGUAGUCUGAUUAGCAUAAGGGAGUCACAACCCUAUCCAACUAAGUAGAAACAUGAAGAUACUUCAAGAUAAAGAGUAGUUACAGAAAAACCCUCCUUUUGUCUUUCUUAUGCCUCUGGAGGACUCCUGACAUGAUGUAAGUGUACUUUCUCGCUGACCUGCUGCCACCCAGGUGAGGUAUGUAGAGAUGAAUUUCACUUGUAAAGCAAACGUCUGACCUGCCAUCAGCAAUAAACCUGAGAAAUCAGACUGGAGACUUCUUAAAACCCCAAGCCAAUCCAAUCCCUCCAGAAAAACUGAUUGCAGCAUUUAGAAUGUGCUAUUUCUUUAGCGCAUGAACAAACUUAAUCAUCAGAGAGUCAGUUCAGAAGAGCAUGGUUCUGGCCAUAAGCAGCUUCUACUGAAAGAUGUCCUGCGGUGUGCUGGCCUACAUCCUACAUCUUGUGGCCCCUUCUCUGUCACCCCACAGACCAUGUAACACAGUCACUGCAGCAGUGCCAGCAGCUUUACUGAGCAGUGACUGUCAUACCCGAGUGCUGCUGACCUGACAC